rnacentral:lncRNA from 1 species
UUUUGUUAGAUAGGCGUAGUAGGUGCUAGUUUGCGGGUUGAAGCUGAGGGUCUGUGACUCCCUGAUGACUGGGAAAGGGUGUUGAAACUCCUCUCCACGAUCUGCGCCUUUACCAGAAUAGCUGAGUAUGUCUUGAGCUCUAGUACCAACAAGUGCCGCUUGAUCUCUGGGCAGAGGCCCCACUGGAACCUCCUGGCCUUUCUGCCCUCAUCCAUCAAUGUCUCAGGGGAGUAUCGGCCCAACUCUAGGAACUUACGAGCAUAUUCCGACACUGUCAUGUUUCCCUGG